AACGAACGCUGGCGGCGUGGAUAAGACAUGCAAGUCGAACGGGACAGACCGAGUAGCAAUAUUUGGAAUGUUCAGUGGCGAACGGGUGCGUAACACGUGGAUAACAUUCCGGAAAGCGGGGAAUAGCCCAGGGAAACUUGGAUUAGUACCGCAUGUGGCCGCAAGGCUAAAGACGGGGACCGCAAGGCCUGUCACUUUCCGAUUGGUCCGCGGCCUAUCAGCUAGUUGGCGGGGUAAUGGCCCACCAAGGCUACGACGGGUAGCUGGUCUUAGAGGACGACCAGCCACACUGGAACGAAGACACGGUCCAGACACCUACGGGUGGCAGCAGUCGAGAAUCUGUCACAAUGGGGGCAACCCUGAUGGGGCGACGCCGCGUGGAGGAUAAGGUCUUCGGAUUGUAAACUCCUGUCAUGCGAGAACAAGGUACUCAGGCUAAUAACCUGAUUGUCUGAUGGUACCGCAAGAGGAAGAGACGGCUAACUCUGUGCCAGCAGCCGCCGUAACAC
rnacentral:rRNA from 1 species